AAUCUACACCAACCUCCUCAUAAUCCUUCUCAAGGGCAGCCAUGUCCUCACGAGCCUCAGAAAACUCUCCUUCCUCCACGCCCUCGCCCACGUACCAGUGAACAAAGGCACACUUGGCACACAUCAGUAUGUGAGGAUACAGUGAGAAGAUAGCAGUCUGCAACCCAAAAGAGGGACCUCACCAGAACCCAUCCAUGCUGGCACCCUGAUUGCAGACUUUCAGCCUCUAAAACUGUGAGGGACUCAGUAUUAUGCUGCUUUGCCACAAGGAAAAGAGGAAGCAGAAACCUGAUUGAUCAGAACACAGGAAAAAGUGAUUUAAAGCCCUUUUGGAUUAGGUAUCAAUCACACUUAAAAGAUGUGUUUAUCCAGGCUGUCAGGCCCAAGAGAACUGGUACAAACCAUUCAAAAUGUUUAUGUUUAGGUUUUUCAAUGCAGUUCAAUGCAGUAAGCAUAUUUGAGGAACUAAAGGCCCAUAAUCAACAUUAAUUUGAUUCCACAACCAUUUCUUAAGCAUUUUAUGGUACAGAAAUUAAUAAGGCAUGACCUAUGCCCUCCAGAGUUUCACAAUCUAGUGAGAUAUCAUCACAAAUCAUUGUUAUAUUAAGAAGGUAUGUUUAGUGAUAACCCCACCUCAUCUGACUACUUUCUUUAGUCUGGCCACCCUCUCCCUUAAAUACUGUUAAAGGAGUGCCUUCUGAUUAUCCUUUUCAAAUCAAAACUCCAGUGUCCUUUCAGUUAUGGUUAUGUCAUAGUUUAUAUUAAAAGGCCAAAGGAUAACUGAUUGGGGGGGAAAGUUUGUCUUAUGCACCACCAUGCAUAAAAGCAAAUAAAUGCAAGCCUCCUUCAGGGGCUCAGAGGACUAUGCUGUGAUGAUAGACAUAAAAGUCUGCCAAUUAUAGCAGCUGCAGUAAAAGCAGCUAGACAUUCUGGAAUGAUGCUUAUCCAAUACAAAGGCCAGACCAAACGAAAGACUGACAUGGUCAUUCUAGGUUGAAAUCUCGGUUAUUCCAUCUGGCUGUGCUACUUUAGGCAAAUCAUUUAAACGUUGAACCUGUGUCCUCAUUUAAGCGCCAGCGUGAAAGCAAUCAGCUCACUUCAUGGGAACAGCUAGUAACUGUGGAGCAUUUUACCAAAACCCACUCAGGCCAACGUAAGUGUAGUAAAGUGGGAGAAACCAUUGCAAGUUACAAAGCUGUAAUGCAUUUUACUAAAAUCUAAGGCCAGAAGUGCAGUGUAAUACAAGAAACUACUUCAAAUUGGAGAGUGUGGUUGUUCCAGAAGACCUUGUUCGCAAGGUAACUCAGAUCACCCGUUCAGCCUCAUCACUGUUUAUUUCAGCCUUUGUAGAAAGGUAAAGGACUUCAGCCCCACGGCAUUGAGGGGAAAGCAGGGAAGCCACGUGAAGCGAUCCGAGCUCCCUGAUUGAGGGACCACUAGAAAACCUGGGAUAGGCUGGGGAGAGGGAGUGUGGAAACGGUUGCCGCAGCAGCAUCCCUAGGCCUCACCCUUCCGGGUCAGGUAUCACCAAAUUCCCAAGACUUUGGGGACCGGAACCCUGGAGGUGGGGGCGUCCCACUGGAGAAUCCCGGGAAAAGGGCGGAGAUGGACCCAGCCAGGGGUGCGGUAUUCAGUUCUAGGGGUCCGCUUGGAGCCGAGAGGGAGUCAGCGAGAAAGGGGCGGGGGCGGCAGUGGGCAGCCGGGAGGAGAGGAGGGGCGAGACGCCGUCGCCGGCCCCCUCCCCUCGCCUCCAGUGCGCUCCCCUCGUGCGUGCUCCCCUCCUUUCCCCUCCCGGCAGGGCACCCGAGCGCAUCCCGCCGAGGCCGGGCCGCUUCAAGGGGAGGCGCCAACUCGUCGCAGCGCCGGGCCCCCGAGCGAGCAGUAACGGCGACCCAGGAGGCGGGGCGGAUGUGGCUCCGGCCUGCGCUGAAGUCACAUUAACCUUACCCUAGAAGACAACUUCUCAAGGAUCUAGAUGGAACAGGAUUAAAGAUGACUGAAUAUUGGGUUCCAGAAAUUUAAAACAAUCAGGGACUGCACAGGACUGAGUCCAUAUGGAAGAAGAACUUCCCCUUUUCUAUGGAGAAAGUGGCAAGCCAGUACGGGCUACUCUGUCGUCUUUGAAGAUGUUAGAUGUGGGCAAGUGGCCAAUUUUCUCCCUUUGCUCUGAAGAAGAACUGCAGUUAGUUCGUCAGGCCUGCGUCUUCGGCAGCGCUGGCAACGAAGUUUUAUACACUACAGUGAAUGACGAGGUUUUUGUGCUUGGCACAAACUGCUGUGGCUGUUUGGGAUUAGGUGAUGUCCAGAGCACCAUCGAACCUCGGAGACUGGACUCGUUAAGUGGCAAAAAAAUCGCCUGCCUCAGCUACGGGAGUGGCCCGCAUGUUGUCCUUGCAACAACAGAAGGAGAAGUCUUUACCUGGGGUCAUAAUGCUUACAGCCAGCUGGGCAACGGGACAACUAAUCAUGGUUUAGUGCCCUGUCAUAUAUCUACUAAUUUGUCAAACAAACAAGUUACUGAAGUUGCCUGUGGGUCUUACCAUUCUUUGGUGCUAACAUCUGAUGGAGAGGUGUUUGCCUGGGGUUAUAAUAACUCCGGGCAGAUAGGGUCUGGAUCAACAGCUAAUCAGCCGAUCCCUCGAAGAGUCACUGGCUGCUUACAGAAUAAAGUGGUCGUGAACAUCGCCUGUGGGCAGAUGUGCUCCAUGGCAGUGGUGGACACUGGGGAGGUCUUCGUCUGGGGUUAUAAUGGGAAUGGGCAGCUGGGACUUGGCAGCGGCGGCAACCAGCCAACCCCCUGCAGAAUAGCAGCUUUGCAAGGCAUUCGUGUCCAGCGGGUUGCCUGUGGCUACGCACACACAUUAGUAUUAACAGAUGAAGGUCAAGUGUAUGCUUGGGGCGCAAAUUCCUAUGGCCAGUUGGGCACUGGCAAUAAAAGUAACCAGUCCUACCCUACUCCUAUCGUUGUGGAAAAGGACAGCAGCUGCUGCGGUCAGCCACGCCCGUGCCCCACCCCUGCCUUUCCGUGUGGCGCUAGGUGCUCCAGAAUUAUAGAGAUUGCGGCCUGCCACUCUGCCCACACGUCUGCCGCCAAGACGCAGGGAGGGCACGUGUACAUGUGGGGCCAGUGCCGGGGCCAGUCGGUGACCCUGCCCCACCUCACCCACUUCUCCUGCACCGACGACGUGUUCGCCUGCUUCGCCACGCCUGCCGUCACGUGGCGCCUCCUGUCCGUGGAACCCGACGACCACCUCACAGUGGCUGAGUCCCUGAAGAGGGAAUUUGACAACCCCAACACCGCAGACCUGAAGUUUCUGGUGGAUGGAAAGUACAUUUAUGCACAUAAAGUCCUUCUCAAAAUUAGGUGUGAGCAUUUUCGUUCUUCGUUGGACGACAGUGAGGAUGAGAUUGUAGAAAUGAGUGAAUUUUCGUAUCCUGUUUACCGAGCCUUCCUGGAGUACCUGUACACGGACAGCAUCAGCCUGUCCCCCGAGGAGGCAGUAGGAUUGCUCGAUCUGGCUACAUUUUAUAGAGAAAAUCGUUUGAAAAAACUCUGCCAACAAACUAUCAAGCAAGGAAUCUGUGAGGAGAAUGCCAUUGCGCUGCUCUCAGCUGCCGUGAAGUAUGAUGCCCAGGAUUUAGAAGAAUUCUGCUUCAGGUUUUGCAUAAACCAUUUGACUGUAGUGACACAGACUUCAGGCUUUGCAGAAAUGGACCACGAUCUCCUGAAGAACUUUAUCAGCAAAGCAAGCAGAGUUGGAGCCUUUAAAAACUGAUCCUCACCUGCAGGAAAGAGUUUUUAGCAUUUCCAUUUUCCCUGCCAGAGAAUAACUUCUCUUUAAUAGUAUUCAUGAAGAGCUGCUUUUGGCUGGAUACUUACAUUCUGUCGAAAGAAGGAUGGUGGGUCAGUCUCCUCCACCUUUUGAAACCCAGAGUCUACACGGAAGGCACUAUAAUGCUCUGAUCAGAUGUGACUGAGCUCAAGGGAAAAAUUUAAAUGUCUUAUUACAUUUACCAUUUUGUCUUGUGGGUCACUUAAGUGGGAGACUUUUGGUACAUGGGUCUUUAGUAUAUGCUAUUCUGGCCAAAUUUCCAUAUUCAGCAGGCUGAUCUCACAUAGACAGCUUGACAAGGAAUGCUGUCACCACCACAUUUUCAGCAUCCCACACAGUGCCUUGCAUAUAGUAGGCACUCAGCUUAUUAUAAAUCUUAAUUAUACCCUGAGAGCAGCUUUUUUCGUGGGAUACUGGGUGAAGGAAUAACUUGCACAGAAAUAGAUCUAAAGCAGCCUGUAGCUACUGAGGUUCAUAUUCUUCUGGUACAUUGUUCUGAGAAAUAGUGGCUAAUUUCGAGCAUUACUUAGAAUUCACAAAAGGCCUUGGCAGUUAAAUUGUCAAAGACCCAAGGGCUAAUUUUAAUCCUCUGUUUACUCCGAGUCAUUAAUUUCUCAUAUGGGAUUAUCGAAUAUGGAGUAAUAUCUUUGAAUGAAUGUUAUUUCUGGGCUCAUCUGCCUUACAUAAUUGCAUCAUGUCCUUUACUUCUGUGUUAAGAAAGAUUCGCCUCUGUAAGUAUAAAUGAUUUUGUGUUUUUCUUGUAGUUGACUUCUAUGUCACCAUAAAAUAGAUCUCUUCACUUAGCACAAUAUAAUUAUAAAGUACUGGCCGAAAAGGAGUGAAUACUUGCAUUUCAUGGAUAGCACUGAAUAAGAAUGAGCUAAAUUUAUACUUUAGAUCAACACAAGUUAGCCAACUGCAAAUGAGAAGCUGGAAUGGGAUGUAGGUUGUAGCAUCAGUGUCUCCUAAUGGGUAUUGCACAAUGUGAUCUCAUGUAAAGAACACUCUUGGAAUUAGAAACCUUGUUCUGAUGCUGAACUAUUUGAUAAUAAAGUGCUUCUUUGCAGAUAACAGAACAAACGUGUGGGUUUUAAAAAAAUUCUUCAGAAGCAGCAAGAUUAUAUUAACCUUAUGUCUGUUAGACAUACAUAAAUCUGUAUAUAAUAGAGGCUAUUUUUUAAAGCAGUUACUCAGGUAAGGUAUCAUAGCAAAGCCCACUCCAAAACAUAAGUGGCUUAUAAACAACGUAAUUACUGUUCAUACUACUGCCUGUGACCACUCUUACUGCUGAGGUUUGGAAUCCUGUUUCUUUUUGUUUGUUUUUUGCUGACCUUGCCUGCUAGAGGCAAAGUAGGCUGGAUGUCUCUAGUUCUAAAUCACAGUCCUAUUUUUGGAACGAUAGAGUAUUUGUUAUUUUAAAACUCAGCCCUGCACUGCUGGUUUUCACGUUUGGGUGGAUUUGCUAUUCCAUCCAGCAAAGGGACAUUGAGACAUGUGUAUGAGCAGUAGCCCCUAUGCGUGCUGUCCCCGAUCAAAGCCGUUGCCUCUUACAGUGUCCUCCCAAACCUUCCCUUCCUCUUUCUUGUCCUUUUCUGACAGGGUUGUCUGAAGUUCCUCAGUGCCUUUUUCUUUUAUGAGCUCAUUUCGUAUAAAAACUGGAACACUCAAAGGGAACAGGUAAGUGUAUUUAGGGAUGAGAAAUGGAUUACCUGCCAAGCACCACAGCAGGUCAGCACCCACACUGCCAGGGUACAUGUUAUUAGGAAGUGUGGAUGGAGUUUCAUCCACAUUACCUCUAAGUUGUGUUAUGUGUCAAUUUGCACAGCUGUCUCUCAGUGUUGCUCAUUUCUGGGCACAAAAGAAUAAUCCCUGAAACUUUUACAAAAUAUAGAUUCAAGGAUUCUAAUUCAGUAUGUCUUAAGAACCUUCGCAAGUAAUUGUGAUGUUUUGCCGAGAAUGAGAGUCACUGGUUUAGCCUUAAAACCUGGGACACCAAACAAGAAGAGCUAAUUUUAGACCAGUAAAUGACUGAGGAGUCCCGUGGUGACGUCUCUCUGACAAAAACAUGCUUUCUCUCUUGUCUUUGCUGAUAGGCUGGCCAUCCGUGCGCCUGUGUGGAGGACAACAGCACUGUUUCCUUCAUUGCUUUCUAACAGGUGAGUGUCUGCAGCGCUCAGAACCGUGCUGUUCAGUUAGGGACAUGUGAGGGAGGAGGUCCAUUUUCAUGAUGAUACUGCACCAGAAAUGAAUGGAGCCUUUCUUUUACCUAAGUUCAUCUGACAUUUUCCAUCCUCGAGUUUUGUUUCCUCUCUGCUCAAACAAGAAGUUCAAUGUUCUAGUGCUUCCUACAUAACUGUACCCUAAUUUACACAGAGAGAGGUUUAGAUUUUACGGGAGUAAAGCAGCGUCCUCAUCUGCUGAGAGGGGGUUUGUGAAGAUACUGUUUAUGCUUCUUAAAAAGUGAAGGUUAAUGUUCUUCAUCUGAGACCUGAAGAAACUGCCAGUCAUUCUAGACCAUAACCUGGUGAGUUUUAUUUAGAGUCAGAAUUCUUGACCCGUGACAAUGAAAAGGAAGCAACUGCAGAUUGCGUGGUCUUGGCCACCUUACUGAUCCUCUCCGUGCUAUUAGCACAAUAAAUGGGUUGGGAGGAUUGUAAACAGAAAGGAGAAAUCAUACCAUACUGCUGUUUUUCUUUGCCAACACAUAAAGACAUAAACCAUACUGAUUUUCUCUCACUAAAUUCAGUUAAAAUCAAAACAUUUCCUGUUCAGAAAGUAACUGAUGUUGGUCUGUGGAAUAAAUUUAACUUUUACGUUAAAUUGUCAGCAUAUGUCAAUACUAAAGAUAAGUAUAGUCCCAAAAUAAUGGACACAAAAAAGGCUUUCUAAGAAUAGAUAACUAUUCCAGCUUCAUAUUAAAAGAGUUGUUUUAAUUCCAUUAAGGCAUUAUACAGUGUUACUACAUUUCUAUUUAAGAAGCCUUACUUGUGGUAGAAAUUUGCUAUUUCUAGAGGCAAGGUUUCAGGUUGUCCUGUAAAACAAAGGAAAAUUCUACUGAAUAAAUCCUUACCAAUGCUGUGCACGCUGUCUGGUCCAAAAAUGAGGAAGAAAAAAUGCGUAUACAGGUAAGUUUCUAUGAAACCAUCCGGAUGGUACUAGAACUAAUAUGUGGGUUUUCCCCUGCCAUUUGUACCAGAAAACUGUAAUGAAAAGUAAAUACAUGAAUUUGAACUUGUCCCUUUUAUUAUAGAGUGUUAAUUACUACACUACAUUAAUCUCUGAAAGUGAUCAGUUUUCUGUGAUCCAGACUAAAAAAUUUUAAUGUCACCAAGGCUGCUUGAUUUUGCCCUGACCUGAGAGAUAAGAGACUGCAUUUCACGCGAGAUCCCAUCCGACAUAAGGAGUGGAACAGUAAAGAGGGAAGAGUGAGAACCUGGACAAGAGUUAAAGCAACUUGUCUCUCACACGCCCAGGUGUGCCCAACUUUGUAGACCACUGUUCUAGAAAUGGCACUUGAGCAGAAGAGAAUCCUGGGCUGGUCCAGAAUUAUCUGAUUGAUAAGCUGAGAAAUAAUUCUGAGCAGGAAGUAGGACAUGACCCUUACUACGGAUGUUUUUACCACUUUCAAUAUAUUAACUUGUACACGCCAGGAAAAGGGAAUCACCAUCAUGAUGAUUUGUUGAAUGGAUAAACAUAACAGAUAUUCCACUUACAUGUCUGCUGCAGUGUGAUUAUUCUGUAGAGGAAGGUUGAGAGUACAAGGAGACUCAAGGUGAUCAGCUGGUCCCUCUCGGUCCUUUGCUUGUUUAAUAAGAUCAAAUAAAGGUGAAUCCUAUGUGCAACAAGAUGACAUAAAACAAUAUUGAGAAAGCACAUCUCACAAUACAGCUGGAGGAAAAGGCCUCGAUUCAGCAAGAGCUAACUCGCUUAGGAAUUUAUUUCGGAACCUUUGAAGGAUUCUUAUGCUUACCUACCAUCUGAGAUCCACUGAAGAAAUAAGGAAAAGGAAAACUUCAUUAAGGAGGAGCAAGAAGUAAACGAGACCAAACUGGGAAUGUUUAAGUCUCUGAAACUCUGCACUGAAAAGCGAAAUAAGAUAGCUAACUUGAGCUUAAACAUUCCGAAGCAUAAACUUAAUUUUGGAAUAUUCAUCUAACCACUGAAACAUAAGUUUACCAGGCAAGUACUUUUAUUUAGAACACAGCUUUUAUUUGAAAGUUAUAAUCUAAUGGGUUGGCUUCAUUGACUGCGUUUUUAAAGACUGCUCGUCAGUAAACUAAGCCCGGCGGGAUUCAUGGAUUUUCUGGAGACUAGGUAAUGAAAAUAUUUUCUUGUUGAAGCACCAAGUGAAAACUUUACAGCAACAAAUUUCAUGUUUCUUCUGGAGAAAAAGGAAGUAUCUAUAAAGCCACGCAAAGAUCCAAAGGAUUUACAAAUACAUUGGAGGUUAUAAAGUGGUCACAAUCUGAAUACCAAAGGAGACUGCAGCCGACCAGAGGACUUCAACACUGUAAACUGGACCUGCCUUUAUAAUGGUAAGCAAUAACAGCUCCCACUGCACCUAUGACGACUCCUUUAAGUACACUCUGUAUGGGUGCAUGUUCAGUAUGGUGUUUGUACUGGGGUUAAUAUCCAACUGUGUUGCCAUAUACAUUUUCAUGUGUACUCUCAAAGUGCGAAAUGAAACAACAACGUACAUGAUUAACUUGGCAAUAUCAGACUUGCUGUUCGUUUUUACUUUACCCUUCAGGAUUUUUUAUUUUGCCACACGGAAUUGGCCAUUUGGAGAUUUACUUUGUAAAAUUUCAGUGAUGCUGUUUUAUACUAACAUGUAUGGAAGCAUUCUGUUCCUAACCUGUAUUAGUGCCGAUCGAUUUCUGGCCAUCGUCUACCCAUUUAAGUCAAAGACUCUAAGAACAAAACGAAAUGCAAAAAUCGUUUGCAUUGCUGUAUGGUUAACUGUGAUGGGAGGAAGCGCACCUGCAGUUUUUUUGCCGUCUACCCACUCGCAGGGUAACAAUACCUCAAAAGCCUGCUUUGAGAAUUUUCCAGAAGCCACAUGGAAAACAUUUCUCUCAAGAAUUGUAAUUUUCAUUGAAAUAGUGGGAUUUUUUAUUCCUCUAAUUUUAAAUGUAACUUGUUCUAGUAUGGUGCUAAGAACUUUAAAUAAGCCUGUUACAUUAAGUAGAAGCAAAAUAAACAAAACUAAGGUUUUAAAAAUGAUUUUUGUGCAUCUGGUCAUAUUCUGUUUCUGUUUCGUGCCCUACAAUAUCAACCUGAUUUUAUAUUCUCUCAUGAGAACACAGACAUUUGUUAACUGCUCAGCAGUGACGGCAGUAAGGACCAUGUACCCAGUCACCCUCUGCAUUGCUGUUUUAAACUGUUGCUUUGACCCUAUAGUUUAUUACUUCACAUCGGACACGAUUCAGAAUUCAAUAAAAAUGAAAAACUGGUCUGCCAGGAGAAGUGCCUCCAGAUUCUCUGAAGUUCAAGGCACAGAGAGCUUUAUUGAACAUAACCUACAGACCUUAAAACGUAAGAUAUUUGACAAUGAAUCUACAAUAUAAGCUGCCUGAAAUAAAACCAUUGGGACUUCACUGGGACAGAACUUCUAAGUUCCUUCAACUGUGAAAAGUGUUUUCCUGGACAACUACUUCUCCACGUCUGAAAAAAAAUAAACAUGUGGAUAUUAAGUUUUUAGUAUUAAAAAAUGUAUUCAAUGUGUUAAGCAUUAAAAUGUAUUUUAUUCUUGUGUACACUCCAUUUUACUUUUCUGAGCCACUUGGAUUUGUACCUUCCUCUUCAUUAAAAAAAAAAAAAAACCCUCAAAAAGCUGUUCAAAGUCUAAAAGUGAUGAUGAUUUAAAA